rnacentral:rRNA from 1 species
UACGUAGGGUGCAAGCGUUAAUCGGAAUUACUAGGGCGUAAACGUGCGCAGGCGGUGAUGUAAGACAGAUGUGAAAUCCCCGGGCUCAACCUGGGAACUGCAUUUGUGACUGCAUCGCUGGAGUGCGGCAGAGGGGGAUGGAAUUCCGCGUGUAGCAGUGAAAUGCGUAGAUAUGCGGAGGAACACCGGAUGGCGAAGGCAGUCCCCUGGGCCUGUAACUGACGCUCAUGCACGAAAGCGUGGGGAGCAAACAGG